GGAAGCGGUCCGCCACCAUCUUGGGAACUCUAAGAAAAAGGACUGCCCGCCACCCCCUCCAGGUAACAAUGGCUCACUGUUCCUCCACAGUUUGACCCAUGCCUGGCUCUUCAACUUUGCCUCCUGCUGCUCCAGACAUCCCAGCAUGCCGUCUCUUGCCUCGUUCCUCUGCACAUGGUUUUUCUGGAUGUACAGUGUCUUUCCUGUUCCCUCUCACCUGCAUCCUACCCAUAGGAUUGUCCACCCCCAUAUCUCUAAGGAAAGUACACCUCCCUCGUCUCCCCUCUGCUGGCUGCCAAGGCCACAAUUUGAACCCCCAACAAACCCUCAUGACCAGAGUUGUUGCAUUGGUGGCAUUGGUGGUUUACUCUCAGACUCCCGUGCUGCGCUGUGGAGGAACCGGGACUGGGUCUCUUGAAUCCUUAAUAUUCAGCAUGCUGCUGGGAUUGUAGAAGGAGCUUGGUAAAGGUUUGCUAGAUAAAUGGAGACUGCCGAAGACUCAGUGCUAACUGACCACACACUUCAUCAGUCAUUACUCGUGUUACUGGAAAGGGGUCCUGAUCCAGGCCCCAAGAGAGGGUUCUUGGAUCUCUUGUAAGAAAGAAUUCAAGCUAAGUCCAUACAGCAAAGUGGAAGCAAGUUUAUGAAGAAAGUAGAGGAAUAAAAGAAUGGCUACCCUCGGGGCUGCUGGUUGCCCAUUUUUAUGGUUAUUUCUUGAUUACAUGCUAAACAAGGGGUGGAUUAUUUAUGCCUCCCCUUUUUAGACCAUAUUGGGUAACUUCCUGACGUUGCCAUGGCAUUUGUAAACUGUCAUGGCGCUGGUGGGAGUGUAGCAGUGAGGACGACCAGAGGUCACCCUCGUCGCCAUCUUGGUUUUGGUGGGAUUUGGCUGGCUUCCUUACUGCAACCUGUUUCAUGAGCAAGGUCUUUAUGAGCUGUAUCUUGUGCUGACCUCCUGUCUCAUCCUGUGACUAAGAAUGCCUUAACCUCCUGGGAAUGCAGCCCAGCAGGUCUCAGCCUUAUUUUACCCAGCCCCUAUUCAAGAACGGAGUUGCUCUGAUUCAAAUAACUCUAACACUCGGGAGACUCCUGGACACAAAACAACAGGCGGAAAAGUUGCAUAGGAGUGGAUUGCAGAGAAAGGGUCUCCCUGUGUUCCCCAGGCAGGCCUCG
rnacentral:lncRNA from 10 species